UAUAAGACUGUUGUAAUUGACAUUGAGAGGAGAGAGAUUAGGAAAGGCAGAGAAGUCAAACCUGUUGAGUGUUCCAUCAAGGCCAGAAUCCACCAAAUUUAUUUCAACAAUGCUGCCAGCUUCAUUGCACUGAAUUCCAGUCCAGUUGCAAGGGCUGCUUCUGCUGCUAGUGAGAGUCCAUGAUGUUAAAGAAGAAGAGCUUAAACUGAUUUUCCAGUUUAGCAGAGCUUCUGCUUCAGUUUGUGCAUGGAUUGCUCAGAAAAAGCCCCAGCGUCAGCACCAAACACCGGCAACUACUCAGAAAAAGCCCCCUGCUUCUCCCAUCCCUGUCGACACCACCUCCGUUUCAAAAAGGCUUCAGAAGGAGUUGAUGUCUCUGAUGUCGUCAGUCCUUCUUCCAGUUGUGAUGACUCUUAUAGCAACACGGCCACAAGAUAGUGAAUUUCUAAAGAUUUUAGGUAAAUUUUGCUAUCCUAGGUGGGCUUUAGAAGCAUUUGUGAUUGCAAAUGCUGAAAGGUAUUGCGCCAAUUUCCCUAUAUCUGAAAAAGUGAUUAGAAUUCUAUUACCUACUGAAAGUGAAAACGUUACCCCUUAAUCUAGCAAUCUGCUGAUGGAGGAGUCUAACUUUGUAAAUCCGAGAACUGAAAUGGAAGU